rnacentral:rRNA from 1 species
CACGUAGGGCGCAAGCGUUGUCCGGAAUUAUUGGGCGUAAAGAGCUCGUAGGCGGUCUGUUGCGUCCGCUGUGAAAACUCGGGGCUUAACCCCGAGCCUGCAGUGGAUACGGGCAGACUAGAGGUAGGUAGGGGAGAAUGGAAUUCCCGGUGUAGCGGUGAAAUGCGUAGAGAUCCGGAGGAACACCAGUGGCGAAGGCGGGUCUCUGGGCCGAUAUCGACGCUGAGGAGCGAAAGCGUGGGGAGCGAACAGG